rnacentral:rRNA from 1 species
AAUAUGGGUCAAGGGGCGAAAGCCUGAUACAGCAAUGCCGCGUGAGGUAUGAAGGCCUUAGGGUUAUAAAGAUCUUUUUGUGGGGAAGUGAAUGACGGUACCACGAGAAGAAGCUCCUGCUAACUUCGUGCCAGGAGCCGCGGUAAUACGAAGGGGGCUAGCGUUGUCCGGAUUUACUGGGCGUAAAGCGCACGUAGGCGGAUUGGUCAGUUAGGGGUGAAAUCCCAGAGCUCAACUCUGGAACUGCCCUUAAUACUGCCAGUCUAGAGUCCGGAAGAGGUGAGUGGAACUCCUAGUGUAGAGGUGGAAUUCGUAGAUAUUAGGAAGAACACCAGUGGCGAAGGCGGCUCACUGGUCCGGUACUGACGCUGAGGUGCGAAAGCGUGGGGAGCAAAC